ensembl:lncRNA
GGAAUGAAGGGAAAAGGAAACAACCAUCAGAAUAUAAGAAGAGCCUGCCUACUGGAUCAGACUAAUGGCCCAUUUAGUCCAGCACCCUGUUCUCAAAGUUGCCAACCAGAUGCCCCUAUGAGAAACCCUCAAGCACAAAAGCCCUCUCCCCUCCUGCAGUUUCCAGGGAUGCUAUUCCACAGACCAGCAAUGGCCGUGCUGAAGGCCCUGUUCCCAGUGACCGUGAAGGGGCCUUCUGAGAUCUUUGGAGCUUGCAGGAGAUGCCCCAAGAUCUUCUGCAUUCCAUUACUGAGACCACUGUGCAUGUGCAGAGGGCAAUCUGAAAAUGGCAACUGUAACUGAGGAGCAGCACCUGCUACAGUUUCAAGGGAUGGGAAAAGGCAAGAAGGAUGAUAGUCAUUAGGAGGUUGCUGGCCUUUUUGGUGACCCUCCAUGCUCUGCCCCCACUUUUGGGUUACCUUCUACUAAGCAGCCCCGGCCUCCCCUCAUCAUUUGGCUGCCAGAGAAGGGGAGCAAUAUUCAUUGUGGAGAGCUGUUUUAAUUAACCUGUCUAGAAUGAAUAAAGGAAUCACAGAAUGGCUGGCUAAGAUUAACUGAAAAUCAAAUGAUAAAUGAGAUAUUGGAAGGAGAAGGAGGGGGGAGUAUCUCAUUUUCACUGAACUUGGAUUAGUAAAUCUCCAAAUAAUAUAAUUACCACAAUUUAUUAUGGUCUGUGUGAGUUAAUGAAAAGCACCUUGAAGUGGGAGGGGCUUCCACGAUGCUUUUACCUGCCAGGAAACUUUCCUAGAUUAGGGUCUUUGUGGACACUGUAAAGUGCAAGCCUGGCUUUACUGAAACAUAUCCAUGCAAACAUAUCCAUUGCAGGAAGCAGAGGAGGGGGAGGCCUUCCAGAACCCACAUCAUGCCCACCUGGGCCAUAAAAUGGAGAAGGGAGCAUUUUUAAAUUGUAUACGAUGUGUUUAUAUGUGAUGUGUUACCUGUAUUAAUUAAUUAUAAAGUGUGCUACCCAUAUUAAUUAUUAUAUUUUAAGGUGUGUUAGGUAUAUUAAUUACGUUUUAAAGCUGCUUUAUACACAUUUACUGUAAUUUCAGAAGCUGGUAUUUGUGGGAAUGUUCAGGGUGGCAGGAGAGGAUAUACUGUUUAUUAAUAUCCUUCCUAACUUGUGCUAGCAAGUUCCUUAGCAGAGUUACACCCCCCCUUUUACAUGCACAGCAGAUAGCUGGUUGCAAGCUUGUGUGAGCUUCUCACUAUUAUACAAUUCAGUCUGUCUCAGAUUGAACUGUAUGUUCCUGGUAAGUUCCCUUGAAUCCCUCUACAAAAUAAAAAGACGCCACAAUCUUAUUCAAAGUCAAUAAGAGAAGUUUACUUACAUCAGUUCACAGUUGGAUUCCUGAAGGCAGACUUUGUUAUAAAUAUGUACAUGUGGAUCUACCCCGUAUGGGGGAAUAAUCCCGGGUUGGGAUACCUGGAAUUGCUGCAGGGAGUUUCUAGGUGGGGCCUGGAGGGAAGGAGGAGAAGUCUGCACUUUAUCCCCAAGAGGCCUGUUUACUUAAGAAACUGAUUCCUCUUUUUAAGUGGGUGUUCUUGUCUCUUGAGUUCUCACUGGGUGUCCAUUUAUCUACACAUUCCCCUCCCCAACAUGUACAUUUACCUGCACGGACCCCCACAGGCACAUCCUGUAUUCUUUGUGCUUAGCAACUGUGCUGCACACUUCAGGGUUGCACACCUGGACCCUGUCCUGCUCCUGCUGAUGGACUCUCUCCAUCAUUGGAGGUUUUUAAACAGGUUGGAUGGCCAUCUGUCAGGGAUUCUUUAGCUGUGAUUCCUGCAUGGCAGGGGGUUGGACUAGAUGACCCUUGGUGGUCCCUUCUGGCUACAUUUCUACGAUCAUCCCACAAUAUUAUCAGUCUGUUUGUGAGCAUUAAUGGCCAUUGCCAUUGUAGCUGAUGCAGGAAAAGGAUGCUCAUUCAGUGCCAAGUAGCAAAUGGAAACAGGUUUAUGUCAAUAGCCUGGAGAUGUUUCCCUGCUCAGAAUGGUGACCUUGAGGAGGGAAAAUGCAUGUUUUAAUGUACAAUCAUGUACCUUAAGAAAAAUAAUCAGCCAAAGUACAGGUUGCUGAAGGCUGGCGAAAAACACCUGAGAACUAAGGCUUGAAAAUGGUCCCUGUACAGUUUAUUGCUGUUUGCUUGCUUGUUUGUUUGCUUGCUUGCUUGUUAUUAUUGCGUGCCUUUCACCCCAAGCUUCCAGAGUAAGUUGCAACAAUUAGAAUAUUAGAAACAGUUUAAGAAUAAUUUAAGAUUACAGAAAUAAGGUGGAUUCUGAAUAUAAAUAAGUAGAA